GCAAGUCGAGCGGUAGAGAGGUGCUUGCACCUCUUGAGAGCGGCGGACGGGUGAGUAAAGCCUAGGAAUCUGCCUGGUAGUGGGGGAUAACGCUCGGAAACGGACGCUAAUACCGCAUACGUCCUACGGGAGAAAGCAGGGGACCUUCGGGCCUUGCGCUAUCAGAUGAGCCUAGGUCGGAUUAGCUAGUUGGUGAGGUAAUGGCUCACCAAGGCGACGAUCCGUAACUGGUCUGAGAGGAUGAUCAGUCACACUGGAACUGAGACACGGUCCAGACUCCUACGGGAGGCAGCAGUGGGGAAUAUUGGACAAUGGGCGAAAGCCUGAUCCAGCCAUGCCGCGUGUGUGAAGAAGGUCUUCGGAUUGUAAAGCACUUUAAGUUGGGAGGAAGGGCAUUAACCUAAUACGUUAGUGUUUUGACGUUACCGACAGAAUAAGCACCGGCUAACUCUGUGCCAGCAGCCGCGGUAAUACAGAGGGUGCAAGCGUUAAUCGGAAUUACUGGGCGUAAAGCGCGCGUAGGUGGUUCGUUAAGUUGGAUGUGAAAUCCCCGGGCUCAACCUGGGAACUGCAUUCAAAACUGUCGAGCUAGAGUAUGGUAGAGGGUGGUGGAAUUUC
rnacentral:rRNA from 1 species